rnacentral:rRNA from 1 species
UACGUAGGUGGCAAGCGUUGUCCGGAUUAUUGGGUUUAAAGGGUGCGUAGGCGGUUCUAUAAGUCAGUGGUGAAAUACGGCAGCUCAACUGUCGAGGUGCCAUUGAUACUGUGGAACUUGAGUACAGACGAGGUAGGCGGAAUUGACGGUGUAGCGGUGAAAUGCUUAGAUAUCGUCAAGAACACCGAUAGCGAAGGCAGCUUACUAGACUGUAACUGACGCUGAGGCACGAAAAGUGUGGGGAUCAAACAGG